GGUGACGCGCUUGGCGUGGAUGGC
rnacentral:piRNA from 1 species